rnacentral:rRNA from 1 species
AUUGAACGCUGGCGGCAGGCCUAACACAUGCCAGUCGGGCGAGCGGCGGCCGGGUGAGUAAUGUAUGGGGACUGCCUGAUGGAGGGGGAUAACUACUGGAAACGGUAGCUAAUACCGCAUACCAGCAGAUAACCCAUAUUGGAUUCGCUUGUAGGUGAGGUAACGGCUCACCUAGGCGACGAUCCCUAGCUGGUCUGAGCGGAUGAUCAGACACACUAGGACUGAGACACGACCCAGACUCCUCCGGAGGCAGCAGUGGGGAAUAUUGCACAAGGGGCGCAAGCCUGAUGCAUCCAUGCCGCGUGUAUGAAGAAGGCCUUCGGGUUGUAAAGUACUGUCAGUCGGGAGGCGUUACCGACAGAAGAAGCACCGGCUAACUCCGUGCCAGCCGCCGCGGUAAUAC